GGAUUAUUGUUUCGGAAACAAUUGAUUUUGAAAAUCAAUAAUAAAAGUUCAACUCCUUUAUAAUCCU
rnacentral:tRNA from 1 species